UGUCGUGUCGUCUAGUGGUUAGACGUGAGCUUCACACGCUCAGAUCGAGGGUUCGAUCCCUCUCGAUAU
rnacentral:tRNA from 2 species